AGCAGCCGCGGUAAUUCCAGCUCCAAUAGCGUAUAUUAGAGUUGUUGCAGUUAAAAAGCUCGUAGUUGAAUUUCGGGGUCAGUAGGUUGGUCGUGCCACCGGUACGUACUGGUCUCACUGAUUCCUCCUUCCUGAAGAACCGUAAUGCCGUUAAUUUGGUGUUGCGGGGAAACAGGACUGUUACCUUGAAAAAAUUAGAGUGUUUAAAGCAAGCUAACGCUUGAAUACAUUAGCAUGGAAUAAUGAAAUAGGACGUUCGAUCUUAUUUUGUUGGUUUCUAGGAUUGACGUAAUGAUUAAUAGGGAUAGUUGGGGGCAUUAGUAUUCAAUUGUCAGAGGUGAAAUUCUUGGAUUUAG
rnacentral:rRNA from 1 species